GUCGAACGCUGGCGGCGUGCUUAACACAUGCAAGUCGAACGGAAAGGCCCUGCUUUUGUGGGGUGCUCGAGUGGCGAACGGGUGAGUAACACGUGAGUAACCUGCCCUUGACUUUGGGAUAACUUCAGGAAACUGGGGCUAAUACCGGAUAGGAGCUCCUGCUGCAUGGUGGGGGUUGGAAAGUUUCGGCGGUUGGGGAUGGACUCGCGGCUUAUCAGCUUGUUGGUGGGGUAGUGGCUUACCAAGGCUUUGACGGGUAGCCGGCCUGAGAGGGUGACCGGCCACAUGGGGACUGAGGUACGGCCCAGACUCAGACGGGAGGCAGAAGUGGGGAAUAUUGAACAAUGGGCGGAAGCCUGAUGCAGCAACGCCGCGUGCGGGAUGACGGCCUUCGGGUUGUAAACCGCUUUCGCCUGUGACGAAGCGUGAGUGACGGUAAUGGGUAAAGAAGCACCGGCUAACUACGUG
rnacentral:rRNA from 1 species